ACGAACGCUGGCGGCGUGGAUAAGACAUGCAAGUCGAGCGCUGAUUUCGAGGUAGCAAUAUUUCGGAGUUGGAGCGGCGCAAGGGUGCGUAACACGUGGGUAAUCUGCCAUGAAGUUUGGAAUAACUUGCUGAAAGGCGAGCUAAUACCGGAUGUGAAAAUUGGGAGGCCUCUCCUGGUUUUUAAAGUUGGGGACCGUAAGGCCUGACGCUUCAUGAUGAGCCCGCGGCCUAUCAGCUAGUUGGUGAGGUAACGGCUCACCAAGGCUAAGACGGGUAGCUGGUCUGAGAGGACGACCAGCCACACUGGAACUGAGACACGGUCCAGACACCUACGGGUGGCGGCAGUCGAGAAUUUUUCACAAUGGGCGCAAGCCUGAUGGAGCGACGCCGCGUGGGGGAUGAAUGGCUUCGGCCCGUAAACCCCUGUCAUUUGCGAUCAAACCUUGCUAUUUAAAAGAUGGCGAGCUGAUAGUAGCGAAAGAGGAAGGGACGGCUAACUCUGUGCCAGCAGCCGCGGUAAUACAGAGGUCCCAAGCGUUGUUCGGAUUCACUGGGCGUAAAGGGUGCGUAGGUGGCGAAGUAAGUCGGAUGUGAAAUCUCGGAGCUCAACUCCGAAACUGCAUUGGAAACUACUUUGCUCGAGGGUCGGAGGGGGGACUGGAAUUCUCGGUGUAGCAGUGAAAUGCGUAGAUAUCGAGAGGAACACCAGUGGCGAAGGCGAGUCCCUGGACGACUCCUGACACUGAGGCACGAAAGCUAGGGGAGCAAACAGGAUUAGAUACCCUGGUAGUCCUAGCUGUAAACGGUGCACGUUUGCUGUAAAAGGAAUCGACCCCUUUUGUGGCGUAGCCAACGCGUUAAACGUGCCGCCUGGGAAGUACGGUCGCAAGAUUAAAACUCAAAGAAAUUGACGGGGGCCUGCACAAGCGGUGGAGUAUGUGGCUCAAUUCGAUGCAACGCGAAGAACCUUACCUGGCCUUGACAUGUACGUAGUAGAAGGGUGAAAGCCUGACGAGGUAGCAAUACCAGCGUACACAGGUGCUGCAUGGCUGUCGUCAGCUCGUGUCGUGAGAUGUUGGGUUAAGUCCCGCAACGAGCGCAACCCUUGUGUCCUGUUGCCACCCCCGCUCUUUCUGGAGCCUGCUCGAGACGUUAGCGUUUCGAAACAGACCUUAGAAAGAGCGGGGAGCACUCUGGACAGACUGCCUCGCUUAAACGAGGAGGAAGGUGGGGAUGACGUCAAGUCAGUAUGGCCCUUGCGGCCAGGGCUGCACACGUACUACAAUGCCCGGUACAAAGGGAAGCGAGACCGUAAGGUGGAGCAAAUCCCCCAAAACCGGGCCCAGUUCAGAUUGCCGUCUGCAACUCGACGGCAUGAAGUUGGAAUCGCUAGUAAUGGCGCAUCAGCUACGGCGCCGUGAAUACGUUCCCAGGCCUUGUACACACCGCCCGUCACAUCAUGAAAGCCGUUUGUACCCGAAGUCACCGUGUUAACCGCAAGGAGACAGGUGCCGAAGGUAUGGAUGGUGAUUGGGAUG
rnacentral:rRNA from 1 species